rnacentral:rRNA from 1 species
GAUCAUGGCUCAGGAUGAACGCUGGCGGCAUGCCUAAUACAUGCAAGUCGAACGGGAGUGCUUGCACUCCAGUGGCGAACGGGUGAGUAAUACAUAGGUAACCUGUCCUUAAGACGAGGAUAGCUUCUAGAAAUGGAAGAUAAAACUGGAUAGGACAUCACAAAUCACAUGAUUAGAUGUUUAAAAGAGCAAUCUACUUAAGGAGGGGCCUGUGGCGCAUUAGCCAGAUGGCGGGGUAAUGGCCCACCAUAGCGAUGAUGCGUAGCCGGUCUGAGAGGACGAACGGCCACAUUGGGACUGAGACACGGCCCAGACUCCUACGGGAGGCAGCAGUAGGGAAUUUUCGGCAAUGGGCGGAAGCCUGAACCCGAGCAAUGCCGCGUGAAUGAAGAAGUAUUUCGGUAUGUAAAGUUCUUUUAUUUGGGACGAAAAAACAAAUUGACGGUACCAAAUGAAUAAGCCCCGGCUAACUAUGUGCCAGCAGCGGC